GAUGAAGAACGUAGCAAAAUGCGAUAAGUAAUGUGAAUUGCAGAAUUCAGUGAAUCAUCGAAUCUUUGAACGCACAUUGCGCCCGCCAGUAUUCUGGCGGGCAUGCCUGUUCGAGCGUCAUUUCAACCCUCAAGCACAGCUUGCGUUGGGGUCCUGCGGCUGCCCGCAGGCCCUGAAAACCAGUGGCGGGCUCGCUAGUCACACCGAGCGCAGUAAUACAUCUCGCUUUGGGCGUGCGGCGGGUUCUUGCCGUUAAACACCCCCUUUUUACCAAGGUUGACCUCGGAUCAGGUAGGAAUACCCGCUGAACUUAAGCAUAUCAAUAAGCGGAGGA
rnacentral:misc_RNA from 1 species